rnacentral:rRNA from 1 species
AGAGUUUGAUCCUGGCUCAGGACGAACGCUGGCGGUGUGCUUCACACAUGCAAGUCGAACGAGGUAGCAAUACCUAGUGGCGGACGGGUGAGUAACGCGUGGGAAUCUGCCUUAAGAUGGGGGAUAACGGGCCGAAAGGCUCGCUAAUACCGCAUAUGCCGAAAGGUGAAAGGAGUAAUCCGUCUUAAGAUGAGCCCGCGUCCGAUUAGCUAGUUGGUAGGGUAAAGGCCUACCAAGGCGACGAUCGGUAGCUGGUCUGAGAGGAUGAUCAGCCACAAUGGGACUGAGACACGGCCCAUACUCCUACGGGAGGCAGCAGUGGGGAAUUUUGGACAAUGGGGGAAACCCUGACGUAGCGACACCGCGUGAGCGAAGAAGCCCCUUGGGGUGUAAAGCUCUGUCAGCUGGAACGAAAAAAAAUGACGGUACCAGCAGAGGAAGCAUCGGCUAACUACGUGCCAGCAGCCGCGGUAAGACGUAGGAUGCGAGCGUUGUCCGGAUUUAUUGGGCGUAAAGAGUUCGUAGGUGGUUUGUCAAGUCUGAUGUUAAAGAUCGGGGCUCAACCCUGGGACUGCAUUGGAUACUGGCAGACUUGAGUGUGGUAGAGGCUAGUGGAAUUCCCAGUGUAGCGGUGAAAUGCGUAGAUAUUGGGAAGAACACCGGUGGCGUAGGCGACUAGCUGGGCCAUAACUGACGCUGAGGAACGAAAGCCAGGGGAGCGAAUGGGAUUAGAUACCCCAGUAGUCCUGGCCGUAAACGAUGGAUACUAGGCGUAUCGGGUAUCGACCCCUGAUGUGCCGCAGCUAACGCGAUAAGUAUCCCGCCUGAGUAGUACGGCCGCAAGGUUGAAACUCAAAGGAAUUGACGGGGGCCCGCACAAGCG